rnacentral:rRNA from 1 species
CAAACGACUCUCGGCAACGGAUAUCUCGGCUCUCGCAUCGAUGAAGAACGUAGCGAAAUGCGAUACUUGGUGUGAAUUGCAGAAUCCCGUGAACCAUCGAGUUUUUGAACGCAAGUUGCGCCCGAAGCCGUCAGGCCAAGGGCACGUCUGCCUGGGCGUCACGC